UACAUUCAAAAGAAACAAUUACUAUCAAGUUUUCAACUAAUCAAAAGUGCAACUCAUGAAAAGAGAAAAAGAAUUGAGCCUUUAAUGUACUCAUGGAUGACAACUUGGAGCCAAGAUCAGCCAGAAUCUUCUUGGCAUCAGUGGUAAGGUUCUUGUUUGAUCCUAAUGCCUUCACAAUAUGUCUUGCUGUAGCUAUCAAAUUCUCUUCUCUUUCUAGUUCAGGAAUCACAGGCUCAGAUUCCUCAACAGCCAUAAGGAACCAAAAGAAAAAACUCCAAACAAAAAGGAAACAAGAUUGAUUGAACCCUAAAUACAAUACCACUUCCUUCUGUAAAAUCUUUUCACCACACAGCUUCAAUAGUAGUAGCUCACAAUACACACCACACAGAACAACGAAUUAGCAGCAGAACCUUAUCAGGACCAAUCAAUAAAGCUCAAAAAACAAAUUUUGCACAUGGGUAUGAAGAAAAACCU
rnacentral:lncRNA from 1 species